rnacentral:lncRNA from 1 species
CAAAGAGCACUUUUGCGAUCCUCAACUGGGAACACGUCUACUAAUCCAUAGGAAGUAUCGCACAGUGACUGCACAAAAUCAAGUGACUGGUGGUAUGCCCCUUUCCGAAAUUGUGAUACCCCAUUAUCUGGAAGUGGAGGUUUUGCAUUUAAACUCUCAUGCUGCUUUGGGGAGCCAGGACGUUUCUGCAGAAUGAACAUUACUCUCGAAUUAAUUACAAUUAAGUGGAGGUUUUGCAUUUAACCUCUCGUGCUGCUUUGGGGAGCCAGGACGUUUCUGCAGAAUGAACAUUACUCUCGAAUUAAUUACAAUUACCAUCAUACCAUAUAUAUCUUUUUUAUUUAUAAGGUACCAUCAUACUAUAUGUAUCAACUCCUCAAUUACGACUCUAAUUUCUGCAAGAUUGAAGCGGAAGCUGGUGUAAAGAGCCCAACAUGAAAUAUAUGCUAAUCCAUAAUCUCAGAAACACUACAUCACAUUUCCAUCAUGUCACUAUAACUCA